rnacentral:rRNA from 1 species
UCGUGCCCUCUAAGAGUCGGGUUGUUUGGGAAUGCAGCUCAAAAUGGGUGGCAAAUUUCAUCUAAAGCUAAAUACUGGCGAGAGACCGAUAGCGAACAAGUAGAGUGAUCUAAAGAUGAAAAGUACUUUGAAAAGAGAGUGAAACAGUACGUGAAAUUGUUGAAAGGGAAGCGCUUGGCAUCAGCCCAUGGCGUCAGUCUAUCAACCUGGCUUCUGUCGGGUGCACUAGAGUGAUGUCGGGCCAGCGUCGACUUUGCCCGCUGGAGAAAGGUUCGAGGGAUGUGGCUCCUUGGAGCGUUAUACCCUUGGGCGUCAUGCGGUGGGCGAGGUCGAGGUCCGCGGUUUAUCCUAGGACGCUGGCGUAAUGGUUCCAAGCGACCCGUCUUGAAACACGGACCAAGGAGUCUAACAUCUAUGCGAGUGUUUGGGUGUAAAGCCCGUCCGCGCAAUGAAAGUGAAUGCAGGCGGGAGCCGUUAGAUGGCGCACCGUCGACCGGUCCAGGGGUUUACCGAAGGAUCUGAGUAAGAGCAUAGCUGUUGGGACCCGAAA